rnacentral:rRNA from 1 species
AUGAACGCUGGCGGCGUGCCUAACACAUGCAAGUCGAGCGAGAUGUUGCAACAUGAGACUUCGGUGGAUUGUUGUGACGGAAAGCGGCGGACGGGUGAGUAACGCGUAGGUAACCUGCCCCAUACAGAGGGAUAGCCACUGGAAACGGUGAUUAAUACCUCAUAAGACUGCAGAUACACAUGUAUCAGCGGCCAAAGAUUUAUCGGUAUGGGAUGGACCUGCGUCUGAUUAGCUAGUUGGUGAGGUAACGGCUCACCAAGGCGACGAUCAGUAGCCGACCUGAGAGGGUGAUCGGCCACAUUGGAACUGAGACACGGUCCAAACUCCUACGGGAGGCAGCAGUGGGGAAUAUUGCACAAUGGGCGCAAGCCUGAUGCAGCAACGCCGCGUGAUUGAUGAAGGCCUUUGGGUUGUAAAAAUCUGUUCUGAGGGAAGAAGAAUGACGGUACCUCAGGAGAAAGCCCCGGCUAACUACGUG